UACGUAGGCAGCAAGCGUUGUUCGGAGUUACUGGGCGUAAAGGGUGCGUAGGUGGCUCUAUAAGUAUGGUGUGAAAUCUCCCGGCUUAACUGGGAGGGUGCGCCGUAGACUGUGGGGCUAGAGUGUGGGAGAGGAAAGUGGAAUUCCUGGUGUAGCGGUGAAAUGCGUAGAUAUCAGGAGGAACACCGGUGGUGUAAACGGCUUUCUGGACCAUAACUGACACUGAGGCACGAAAGCUAGGGGAGCAAACAGG
rnacentral:rRNA from 1 species